rnacentral:rRNA from 1 species
AGUGAACGCUGGCGGUGGGCCUAACACAUGCAAGUCGAACGGCAGCACAGUAAGAGCUUGCUCUUACGGGUGGCGAGUGGCGGACGGGUGAGGAAUACAUCGGAAUCUACUUUUUCGUGGGGGAUAACGUAGGGAAACUUACGCUAAUACCGCAUACGACCUACGGGUGAAAGCAGGGGAUCUUCUGACCUUGCGCGAUUGAAUGAGCCGAUGUCGGAUUAGCUAGUUGGCGGGGUAAAGGCCCACCAAGGCGACGAUCCGUAGCUGGUCUGAGAGGAUGAUCAGCCACACUGGAACUGAGACACGGUCCAGACUCCUACGGGAGGCAGCAGUGGGGAAUAUUGGACAAUGGGCGCAAGCCUGAUCCAGCCAUACCGCGUGGGUGAAGAAGGCCUUCGGGUUGUAAAGCCCUUUUGUUGGGAAAGAAAAGCAGCAGGUUAAUACCCCGCUGUUCUGACGGUACCCAAAGAAUAAGCACCGGCUAACUUCGUG